AGAGUUUGAUCCUGGCUCAGGAUGAACGCUAGCGGCAGGCCUAAUACAUGCAAGUCGAGGGAGAAUUUAGGUGCUUGCACUUAGAGGGAACCGGCGAACGGGUGCGUAACACGUAUGCAACCUACCUAUAACUGGGGGACAGGCCGAAGAAAUUCGGAUUAAUACCCUAUAAUAUUUAGUCAUCGCAUGAUGAUUAUCUUAAAACUCAGGUGGUUAUAGAUGGGCAUGCGGCCUAUUAGUUUGUUGGUGAGGUAAUGGCUCACCAAGACUACGAUAGGUAGGGGGUCUGAGAGGAUGAUCCCCCACACUGGUACUGAGACACGGACCAGACUCCUACGGGAGGCAGCAGUAGGGAAUAUUGGACAAUGGACGAAAGUCUGAUCCAGCCAUGCCGCGUGCAGGAUGACGGCCCUAUGGGUUGUAAACUGCUUUUAUAUAGGAAGAAACCUUUCCACGUGUGGAAAGCUGACGGUACUAUACGAAUAAGGACCGGCUAACUCCGUGCCAGCAGCCGCGGUAAUACGGAGGGUCCAAGCGUUGUCCGGAUUUAUUGGGUUUAAAGGGUACGUAGGCGGAAUUUUAAGUCAGUGGUGAAAGCCUCCAGCUCAACUGGAGAAUUGCCAUUGAAACUGAAGUUCUUGAAUAUGGAUGAGGUGGUUGGAAUAUAACAUGUAGCGGUGAAAUGCUUAGAUAUGUUAUAGAACACCAAUUGCGAAGGCAGAUCACUAAACCAUUAUUGACGCUGAGGUACGAAAGCGUGGGGAGCGAACAGGAUUAGAUACCCUGGUAGUCCACGCCGUAAACUAUGUUCACUCGCUGUUGGCGAUAUACUGUCAGCGGCCAAGCGAAAGCAUUAAGUGAACCACCUGGGGAGUACGAUCGCAAGGUUGAAACU
rnacentral:rRNA from 1 species